rnacentral:snRNA from 1 species
AUACUUACCUGGACGGGGUCUAUGGGUGAUCAAUAAGACCCAUGGCCUAGGUUGGUGACCUCCAUUGCACUUAGGAGGGGUGCCCGCCUAACAUCUCCCCAAGUGGGAGAGUGUACGUCAUAAUUUGUUAAUGAGGGGGUACGCGUUCGCGCGGCCCCUG